GAUCAUGGCUCGGGAUGAACGCUAGCGGCAGGCUUAACACAUGCAAGUCGGAGGGGCAGCAUAAUGGAUAGCAAUAUCUAUGGUGGCGACCGGCGGCACGGGUGCGUAACGCGUAUGCAACCUACCUUUAACAGGGGGAUAACACUGAGAAAAUUGGUACUAAUACCCCAUAAUAUCAUAGAAGGCAUCUUUAUGGUUGAAAAUUCCGAUGGUUAGUAGAUGGGGCAUGCGGUUGUAUUAG
rnacentral:rRNA from 1 species